GAUGAACGCUGGCGGCGUGCCUAACACAUGCAAGUCGAACGGAGAUUACGGAAGGACGUUUUCGGAUGGAAGCCUGUAAUGCUUAGUGGCGGACGGGUGAGUAACGCGUGGGCAACAUGCCAUAUACAGGGGGAUAGCAGCUGGAAACGGCUGGUAAGACCGCAUAAGUCGGUUAAAUCGCAUGAUUUGAUCGGGAAAUGAGCAAUCAGGUAUAGGAUGGGCCCGCGUCCGAUUAGCCAGUUGGCAGGGUAAAAGCCUACCAAAGCGACGAUCGGUAGCCGGACUUAGAGUGCGAACUUCCACAUUGGGACUAUGCCACCGCCCAACCUCCUACAGGAGGCAGCAGUGGAGCAUAUUACACAAUGUAGGAAACUCUGAUGCCUCGACGCCGCGUGAGUGAAGAAGUAUUUCGGUAUAUAAAUCUCUAUCAGCAGGUAAGAUUAUAACGGUACCUGACUAAGAAGCCCCGGCUAACUACGUG
rnacentral:rRNA from 1 species